GGCCGGGGUGGGCCGGCUGACCGGGCUGAACCCGCCCGCCGCGCCGGUGCUGGUGUCCAUGGCUCUGGGCGCGGCGGGUUGGUUCCUGCCCGACCU
rnacentral:tRNA from 1 species